GGCCCGGUAGUGUAAUGGUAACACACCUGCUUAUCUUUUCCACCUGUGUAUUUGCAAUGAUCUGCAGGAGUCCCCCGUUCAAUUCGGGGCCGGGUUA